rnacentral:rRNA from 1 species
UACGUAGGGGGCGAGCGUUGUCCGGAUUUACUGGGCGUAAAGGGUGAGUAGGCGGUUAUAUAUGUCAGAUGUAAAAGGCACAGGCUUAACUUGUGUAAGCAUUUGAAACUGUAUGACUUGAGUGCAGGAGAGGUAAGUGGAAUUCCUAGUGUAGCGGUGAAAUGCGUAGAUAUUAGGAGGAACACCAGUGGCGAAGGCGACUUACUGGACUGUAACUGACGCUGAGUCACGAAAGCGUGGGUAGCAAACAGG